UACAGAGGGUGCGAGCGUUAAUCGGAAUUACUGGGCGUAAAGCGCGUGUAGGCGGUCUUGCAAGUCGGGUGUGAAAUCCCUUGGCUCAACUGAGGAAGUGCGCCCGAAACUGCAGGACUUGAGUACCGGAGAGGAUGGCGGAAUUCCCCAAGUAGAGGUGAAAUUCGUAGAUAUGGGGAGGAACACCGGUGGCGAAGGCGGCCAUCUGGACGGAUACUGACGCUGAGACGCGAAAGCAUGGGGAGCAAACAGG
rnacentral:rRNA from 1 species